CGCGUGAGUAACCUGCCUUGGAGUGGGGAAUAACAGAUGGAAACAUCUGCUAAUACCGCAUAAUACGUCUGUGUCGCAUGGCACUGGACGUCAAAGAUUUAUCGCUCUGAGAUGGACUCGCGUCUGAUUAGCUGGUUGGCGGGGUAACGGCCCACCAAGGCGACGAUCAGUAGCCGGACUGAGAGGUUGGCCGGCCACAUUGGGACUGAGACACGGCCCAGACUCCUACGGGAGGCAGCAG
rnacentral:rRNA from 1 species